GACUUUUUGGUUUUGUAAUUGGAAUGAGUUAAGUAUAAACCCCUUUACAAGUAUCAAUUGGAGGGCAAGUCUGGUGCCAGCAGCCGCGGUAAUUCCAGCUCCAAUAGCGUAUAUUAAAGUUGUUGCAGUUAAAAAGCUCGUAGUUGGAUUUCUGUUAAUAAUUUAUAUAAAAUAUUUUGAUGAAUAUUUAUAUAAUAUUAACAUAA
rnacentral:rRNA from 1 species